GCCCUAGCGCCCGCCUCGGCGCUCUUCAAGAUGGCGGCCGACAGUGAGCCCGAGUCCGAGGUAUUUGAGAUCACGGACUUCACCACUGCCUCGGAAUGGGAAAGGUUUAUUUCCAAAAUUGAAGAAGUCUUGAAUGACUGGAAACUGAUUGGAAACUCUUUGGGAAAGCCACUUGAAAAGGGUAUAUUUACUUCUGGCACAUGGGAAGAGAAAUCAGAUGAGAUUUCAUUUGCUGAUUUCAAGUUCUCAAUCACUCAUCAUUAUCUUGUACAAGAAUUCCCUGAUAAAGAAGGAAAGGAUGAAGUAUUAGAAGAUGUUAUUCCACAAUCUAUGCAAGAUUUGCUGUGUAUGAAUAAUGACUUUCCUCCCAGAGCACAUUGCCUGGUAAGAUGGUAUGGACUCCGAGAGUUUGUGGUGAUCGCCCCUGCCGCAAAUAAUGAUGCUGUUCUCAGUGAAUCUAAGUGCAAUCUUCUUCUGAGUUCUGUGUCUGUUGCUUUGGGAAACACUGGCUGCCAGGUGCCACUCUUCGUGCAAAUUCAUCAGAAAUGGCGAAGAACGUAUGUGGGAGAAUGUCAGGGUCCUGGUGUCCGAACUGAUUUUGAAAUGGUUCAUCUUCGAAAAGUGCCAAAUCAGUACACUCAUUUAUCAGGUCUGCUGGAUAUCUUCAAAUCAAAGAUUGGAUGCACUUUAACUCCAUUGCCUCCAGUUAGUAUUGCUAUACGGUUUACCUAUGUACUUCAGGAUUGGCAGCAGUAUUUUUGGCCUCAGCAGCCUCCAGAUAUAGAUGCCCUUGUAGGAGGAGAAGUGGGAGGCCUGGAGUUUGGCAAGUUACCAUUUGGUGCUUGUGAAGAUCCUAUUAGUGAACUCCACUUAGCAACUACAUGGCCUCACCUGACUGAAGGUAUCAUUGUGGAUAAUGAUGUUUAUUCUGAUUUGGAUCCUAUUCAGGCUCCCCAUUGGUCUGUUAGAGUUCGAAAAGCUGAUAAUCCUCAGUGUUUGCUAGGUGAUUUUGUCACUGAGUUUUUUAAAAUUUGCCGUCGAAAGGAGUCAACUGAUGAGAUUCUCGGACGAUCCACAUUUGAGGAAGAAGGAAGAGAAGCUGCUGAUAUAACUCAUGCUUUGUCAAAGUUGACAGAGCCUGCACCGGUUCCAAUUCAUAAAUUAUCAGUUUCAAAUAUGGUACACACUGCAAAGAAGAAAAUACGAAAACAGAGAGGUGUAGAAGAAUCACCACUGAAUAAUGAUGUCCUCAAUACAAUUCUCUUGUUCUUAUUCCCUGAUGCUGCUUCUGAGAAACCGUUAGAUGGGACUUCUUCAACAGACAACAGUAAUCCUCCAUUAGAGAGUGAAGAAUAUAAUCUCUACAAUCAGUUCAAAUCUGCACCAUCUGAUAGUUUAACAUACAAAUUGGCUUUGUGUCUUUGUAUGAUCAAUUUCUACCAUGGAGGACUGAAAGGAGUGGCACAUCUCUGGCAGGAGUUUGUUCUUGAAAUGCGUUUCAGAUGGGAGAACAACUUUCUGAUUCCAGGAUUAGCAAGUGGACCCCCAGAUCUAAGAUGUUGUUUACUGCAUCAGAAACUACAGAUGUUAAAUUGUUGUAUUGAACGAAAGAAGGCACGUGAUGAGGGGAGAAAGACAAGUCCUUCAGAUAAUGUAACUAAUACAUAUUCAGGGGAUGCUGGAAAAUCUGGAGACCAGCUGGGGCCAGACAAUCUAAAAGAUAUGGAUAAGGAAAAGGGAGAGGUGGGAAAAUCAUGGGAUUCUUGGAGUGACAGCGAGGAAGAAUUUUUUGAAUGCCUAAGUGAUACUGAAGAACUUAAGGGAAAUGGACAAGAGAGUGGCAAGAAAGGAGGACCUAAGGAGAUGGCAAGUUUAAAGCCAGAAGGACGACUCCAUCAGCAUGGGAAACUUAAUCUGCUACAUAAUGGAGAACCUCUAUAUAUUCCAGUGACCCAGGAACCAGCACCUAUGACAGAAGAUCUGCUAGAAGAGCAGUCGGAGGUUCUAGCUAAAUUGGGUACAUCGGCAGAAGGGGCUCACCUCCGAGCACGCAUGCAGAGUGCCUGUCUGCUCUCAGAUAUGGAGUCUUUUAAGGCAGCUAAUCCAGGUUGUUUUCUGGAAGAUUUUGUGAGGUGGUACUCACCCCGGGAUUACAUUGAAGAGGAAGUGAUUGAUGAAAAGGGCAACAUGGUUCUGAAAGGAGAACUGAGCGCCCGAAUGAAGAUUCCAAGCAAUAUGUGGGUAGAAGCCUGGGAAACAGCUAAGCCAAUUCCCGCUAGAAGGCAAAGGAGACUCUUUGAUGAUACACGGGAAGCAGAAAAGGUGCUGCACUAUCUGGCAGUACAGAAACCUGCAGACCUUGCUAGGCACCUGUUACCUUGUGUAAUUCAUGCAGCCGUACUCAAGGUAAAGGAGGAAGAAAGUCUGGAAAACAUUUCUUCAGUUAAGAAGAUUAUAAAGCAAAUAAUAUCUCAUUCCAGUAAAGUUUUGCACUUCCCCAAUCCAGAAGACAAGAAAUUGGAAGAAAUCAUCCAUCAAAUUACUAAUGUAGAAGCUAUAAUUGCUAGAGCCCGCUCACUGAAAGCCAAGUUUGGAACUGAGAAAUGUGAACAAGAGGAGGAAAAGGAAGAUCUUGAAAGGUUUGUGAGUUGCCUUUUGGAGCAACCUGAGGUGUUAGUUGUCGGUGCAGGAAGAGGACAUGCUGGCAGGAUCAUUCACAAGCUGUUUGUGAAUGCUCAGAGGUUUGCAGGUUUGUCUCCAUCUUUGUCCCAGAAUAAGGUAGACGAAUGGCCUGUGAGGGAGCCAUGUGCAGGCUGGGCCGGCUGGUGCUGCAGAUGCUGUUAGCUGGGUUCAAAGCUGAUAUAUGCCCAGGAGUGGAGUUACUGGAUCUUAUGUCACUGAGGUCUCUCCUCAGAGAGCAGCAGAUCCCUCUAGCUGCAGAUGUGCAACAGGACAGAUACCAUUCACUGCUUCCAUUCUUUACUCAGUCUGCCAAAGAGGUUGUGCCACCAACCCCAGGACCUGCUGCUGCCUUCUGUGCUGCUGCUGGCUACACUGCAACUCCUCUUGCUCCACAGCUUCCUCCGUGGUACAAUCCACCCACAUUUGGGUUCACAUAUGGAUGAUCUCUUGGGUUUCCUGGUAUGAUGUGCGGAGGUACUCUUUUUCGGUUAGUUAUGGAUGUCUGAUUAAUUAUAAAUUAAAGGGGAGAGAAUGCUGACAUCACUGUCAGUAAUAACUUUAAAUAUAAGUGGAUCAAACCCUUCCAUCAAAAGAUACAGAGGCUUCGGUUGGAGCGCACGGAGAGGACUGGGGUUGGCGGUGUGAACACAGCCUGCAGGGGGUUAGUGCACCACGGCUAGCCAGGAGGGAGUCUGGGAAAAAGUCUGGACCUGCCGAAGAGGCAGGAGACAUUUUCUUCCCUCUUUGUUUCCUGGUGCGCGAGGAGAGGGGAUUAAGAGCGCUGCUUAAAGGAGCUCCAGAGACGGGCACUAGCCACAGCUAAAAGCGCAGACCCCAGAGAGGGGCAUGAGACAGACACUGAGGCUGGUGCUGCCGCCACCAAGAAGCCUGUGUGUGAGCACAGGUCACUCUCCACACCUCCCCUCCCGGGAGCCUGUGCAGCCCGCCACGGUCCCGAGAUCCAGGGACAACUUCCCCGGGAGAACGCACCGCGCGCCUCAGGCUGGUGCAACGUCAUGCCAGCCUCUGCCGCCAAAGGCUCGCCCCGCACUCCGUGCCCCUUCCUUCGCCCAGCCUGAGUGAGCCAGAGUCCCCGAAGCAGCUGCUCCUUUAACCCCAUCCAGUCUGAGCGAAGAACAGACGCCCUCUGGUGACCUACACGCAGAGGCGGGGCCAAAUCCAAAGCUGAGCCCUGGGAGCUGUGAGAACAAAGAAGAGAAAGGGAAAUCUCUCCCAGCAGCCUCAGAAGCAGCGCAUUAAAGGUCCACAAUCAACUUGAUGUACCCUGCAUCUGUGGAAUACAUGAAUAGACAACGAACCAUCCCAAAUUGAGGAGCCGUGUAGAUGAAAGGCUCUUGGUGCUGCAGCCAGGAGUCAGUGCUGUGCCUCUGAUGUGGGAGAGCCAACUUCAGGACACUGGUACACAAGAGACAUCCCAGCUCCACAUAAUAUCAAAUGGCGAAAAUCGCCCAGAGAUCUCCAUCUCAACACCAGCACCCAAUUUCACUCAACGACCAGCAAGCUACAGUGCUGGACAACCUAUGCCAAACAAUAGCAAGACAGGAACACAACCCCACCCAUUAGCAGAGAGGCUACCUAAAAUCAUAAUAAGUCCACAGACACCCCAAAACACACCAGCAGACGUGGACCUGCCCACCAGGGCAGCCUACACAACCCACUGAACCAACCUUAGCCACCUGGGACAGACACCAAAAACAACGGGAACUACGAACCUGCAGCCUGCAAAAAGGAGACCCCAAACACAGUAAGAUAAGCAAAAUGAGAAGACAGAGAAACACACAGCAGAUGAAGGAGCAAGAUAAAAACCCACCAGACCUAACAAAUGAAGAGGAAAUAGGCAGUCGACCUGAAAAAGAAUUCAGAAUAGUAAUAGUAAAGAUGAUCCAAAAUCUUGGAAAUAGAAUAGACAAAAUGCAAGAUACAUUUAACAAGGACCUAGAAGAACUAAAGAGGAAACAAGCAACGAUGAACAACACAAUAAAUGAAAUAAAUGAAAUUAAAAAUACUCUAGAUGGGAUGAAUAGCAGAAUAACUGAGGCAGAAGAACGGAUAAGUGACCUGGAAGAUAAAAUAGUGGAAAUAACUACGGCAGAGCAGAAUAAAGAAAAAAGAUGAAAAGAACUGAGGACAGUCUCAGAGACCUCUGGGACAACAUUCGAAGUAUAGGGGUUCCAGAAGAAGAAGAGAAAAAGAAAGAGACUGAGAAAAUAUUUGAAGAAAUUAUAGUUGAAAACUUCCCUAAUAUGAGAAAGGAAAUAGUUAUUCAAAUCCAGGAAGCACAGAGAGUCCCAUACAGGAUAAAUCCAAGGAGAAAUACGCCAAGACACAUAUUAAUCAAACUGUCUAAAAUUAAAUACAAAGAAAGCAUAUUAAAAGCAGCAAGGGAAAAACAACAAAUAACACAUAAGGGAAUCCCCAUAAGGUUAACAGCUGAUCUUUCAGCAGAAACUCUGAAAGCCAGAAGGGAGUGGCAGGACAUAUUUAAAGUGAUGAAGGAGAAAAACCUGCAACCAAGACUACUCUACCCAGCAAGGAUCUCAUUCAGAUUUGAUGGAGAAAUUAAAACCUUUACAGACAAGCAAGAGCUGAGAGAGUUCAGCACCACCAAACCAGCUUUACAACAAAUGCUAAAGGAACUUCUCUAGGCAAGAAACACAAGAGAAGGAAAAGACCUACAAUAACAAACCCAAAACAAUUAAGAAAAUGGGAAUAGGAACAUACAUAUCGAUAAUUACCAUAAAUGUAAAUGGACUAAAUGCUCCCACCAAAAGACACAGAUUGGCUGAAUGGAUACUAAAACAAUACCCAUAUAUAUGCUGUCUACAAGACACCCACUUCGGACCUAGAGACACAUACAGACUGAAAGUAAGGGAUUGGAAAAAGAUAUUACAUGGAAAUGGAAACCAAAAGAAAGCUGGAGUAGCAAUUCUCAUAUCAGACAAAAUAGACUUUAAAAUAAAGACUAUUAGAAGAGACAAAGAAGGACACUACAUAAUGAUCAAGGGACCGAUCCAAGAAGAAGAAAUAACAAUUGUAAAUAUUUAUGCACCCAGCAUAGGGGCACCUGAAUACAUAACGCAAAUGUUAACAGCCAUAAAACGGGAAAUCGACGGUAACACAUUCAUAGUAGGAGACUUUAACACCCCACUUUCACCAAUGGACAGAUCAUCCAAAAUGAAAAUAAAUAAGGAAACACAAGCUUUAAAUGAUACAUUAAACAAGAUGGAUUUAAUUGAUAUUUAUAGGACAUUCCAUCCAAAAACAACAGAAUACACAUUUUUCUCAAGUGCUAAUGGAACAUUCUCCAGGACAGAUCAUAUCCUGGAUCACAAAUCAAGCCUUGGUAAAUUUAAGAAAACUGAAAUUGUAUCAAGUAUCUUUUCCAACCACAACGCUAUGAGACUAGAUAUCAAUUACAGGAAAAGAUCUGUAAAAAAUACAAACACAUGUACGGUAACAAUACACUACUUAAUAACGAAGUGAUCACUGAAGAAAUCAAAGAGGAAAUAAAAAAAUACCUAGAAACAAAUGACAAUGGAGACACGACGACCCAAAACCUAUGGGAUGCAGCAAAAGCAGUUCUAAGAGGGAAGUUUAUAGCAAUACAAUCCUACCCUAAGAAACAGGAAACAUCUCAAAUAAACAACCUAACCUUGCACCUAAAGCAAUUAGAGAAAGAACAAAAAAACCCCAAAGUUAGCAGAAGGAAAGAAAUCAUAAAGAUCAGAUCACAAAUAAAUGAAAAAGAAAUGAAGGAAACGACAGCAAAGAUUAAUAAAACUAAAAGCAGGUUCUUUGAGAAGAUAAACAAAAUUGAUAAACCAUUAGCCAGACUCAUCAAGAAAAAAAGGGAGAAGACUCAAAUCAAUAGAAUUAGAAAUGAAAAAGGAGAAGUAACAACUGACACUGCAGAAAUACAAAGGAUCACGAGAGAUUACUACAAGCAACUCUAUGCCAAUAAAAUGGACACCUGGAAGAAAUGGACAAAUUCUUAGAAAUGCACAACCUGCUGAGACUGAACCAGGAAGAAAUAGAAAAUAUGAACAGACCAAUCACAAGCACUGAAAUUGAAACUGAGAUUAAAAAUCUUCCAACAAACAAAACCCCAGGACCAGACGGCUUCACAGGCGAAUUCUACCAAACAUUUAGAGAAGAGCUAACACCUAUCCUUCUCAAACUCUUCCAAAAUAUAGCAGAGGGAGGAACACUCCCAAAUUCAUUCUACGAGGCCACCAUCACCUUAAUACCAAAACCAGACAAGGAUGUCACAAAGAAAGAAAACUACAGGCCAAUAUCACUGAUGAACAUAGAUGCAAAAAUCCUCAACAAAAUUCUAGCAAACAGGAUCCAACAGCACAUUAAAAGGAUCAUACACCAUGAUCAAGUGGGGUUUAUUCCAGGAAUGCAAGGAUUCUUCAAUAUAUGCAAAUCAAUAAUGUGAUACACCAUAUUAACAAAUUGAAGGAGAAAAACCAUAUGAUCAUCUCAGUAGAUGCAGAGAAAGCUUUCGACAAAAUUCAGCACCCAUUUAUAACAAAAACCCUGCAGCGAGUAGGCAUAGAGGGAACUUUCCUCAACAUAAUAAAGGCCAUAUAUGACAAACCCACAGCCAACAUUGUCCUCAGUGGUGAAAAACUGAAAGCAUUUCCACUAAGAUCAGGAACAAGACAAGGUUGCCCACUCACCACUCUUAUUCAACAUAGUUUUGGAAGUUUCAGCCACAGCAAUCAGAGAAGAAAAGGAAAUAAAAGGAAUCCAAAUCGGAAAAGAAGAAGUAAAGCUGUCAAUGUUUGCAGAUGACAUGAUACUAUACAUAGAGAAUCCUAAAGGUGCUACCAGAAAACUACUAGAGCUAAUCAAUGAAUUUGGUAAAGUUGCAGGAUACAAAAUUAAUGCACAGAAAUCUCUGGCAUUCCUAUAUACUAAUGAUGAAAAAUCUGAAAGUGAAAUCAAGAAAACACUCCCAUUUACCAUUGCAACAAAAAGAAUAAAAUAUCUAGGAAUAAACUUAUCUAAGGAGACAAAAGACCUGCAUGCAGAAAAUUAUAAGACACUGAUGAAAGAAAUUAAAGAUGAUAUAAAUAGAUGGAGAGAUAUACCAUUUUCUUGGAUUGGAAGAAUCAACAUUGUGAAAAUGACUCUACUACCCAAAGCAAUCUACAGAUUCAAUGCAAUCCCUAUCAAACUACCACUGGCAUUUUUCAUAGAACUAGAACAAAAAAUUUCACAAUCUGUAUGGAAACACAAAAGACCCCGAAGAGCCAAAGCAAUCUUGAGAACGAAAAAUGGAGCUGGAGGAAUCAGGCUCCCUGACUUCAGACUAUACUACAAAGCUACAGUAAUCAAGACAGUAUGGUACUGGCACAAAAACAGAAAGAUCAAUGGAACAGGAUAGAAAGCCCAGCAAUAAACCUAUGUACAUAUGGUCACCUUAUCUUUGAUAAAGGAGGCAGGAAUGUACAGUGGAGGAAGGACAGCCUCUUCAAUAAGUGGUGCUGGGAAAACUGGACAGGUACAUGUAAAAGAAUGAGAUUAGAUCACUCCCUAACACCAUACACAAAAAUAAGCUCAAAAUGCAUUAAAGACCUAAAUGUAAGGCCAGAAACUCUCAAACUCUUAGAGGAAAACAUAGGCAGAACACUCUAUGACAUAAAUCAUAGUAAGAACCUUUUUGACCCACCUCCUAGAGAAAUGGAAAUAAAAACAAAAAUAAACAAAUGGGACCUAAUGAAACUUCAAAUCUUUUGCACAGCAAAGGAAACCAUAAACAAGACCAAAAGACAACCCUCAGAAUGGGAGAAAAUAUUUGCAAAUGAAGCAACUGACAAAGGAUAAUUUCCAAAAUUUACAAGCAGCUCAUGCAGCUCAAUAACAAAAAAUCAAACAACCCAAUCCAAAAAUGGGUAGAAGACGUAAAUAGACUUUUCUCCAAAGAAGACAUACAGACUGCCAACAGACACAUGAAAGAAUGCUCAACAUCAUUAAUCAUUAGAGAAAUGCAUAUCAAAACUACAAUGAGAUAUCAUCUCACACCAGUCAGAAUGGCCAUCAUCAAAAAAUCUAGGAACAAUAAAUGCUGGAGAGGGUGUGGAGAAAAGGGAACACUCUUGCAUUGCUGGUGGGAAUGUGAAUUGGUACAGCCACUAUGGAGAACAGUAUGGAGAUUCCUUAAAAAACUACAAAUAGAACUACCAUAUGACCCAGCAAUCCCAUACUGGGCAUAUACCCUGAGAAAACCAUAAUUCAAAAAGAGUCAUGUACCACAAUGUUCAUUGCAGCUCUAUUUACAAUAGCCCGGAGAUGGAAGCAACCUAAGUGUCCAUCAUCGGAUGAAUGGAUAAAGAAGAUGUGGCACAUAUAUACAAUGGAGUAUUACUCAGCCUUAAAAAGAAACGAAAUUGAGCUAUUUGUAAUGAGGUGGAUAGAUGUAGAGUCUGUCAUACAGAGUGAAGUAAGUCAGAAAGAGAAAGACAAAUACCGUAUGCUAACACAUAUAUAUGGAAUCUAAAAGAAAAAGGUUAUGAAGAACCUAGGAGUAAGACAGGAAUAAAGACACAGACCUACUAGAGAAUGGACUUGAGGAUAUGGGGAGGUGGAAGAGUAAACUGUGACAAAGUGAGAGAGGGGCAUGGACAUAUAUACUCUACGAAACGUAAAAGAGAUAGCUAGUGGGAAGCAGGCACAUAGCACAGGGAGAUCAGCUCGGUGCUUUGUGACCUAGAGGGGUGGGAUAAGGAGGGUGGGAGGGACGGAGAUGCAAGAGGGAAGAGAUAUAGGAACAUAUGUAUAUGUAUAACUGAUUCACUUUGUUAUAAAGCAGAAACUAAUACACCACUGUAAAGCAAUUAUACUCCAAUAAAGAUGUAAAAAAAAAAACCCAGCAGUCUCAAAGCCAUAAAUAUUGUCAAAAGAAAAAAAAUCAGAAUAGACAUAACCAAAUAAUACAGUGAGACUUUUUCAAGAAAAUUAAAAAAAAACAAACAAAAGAUACAGACUGGCAGAAACAAACAAACAAAAAUGAUCCAACUAGAUACUGUUUAUAAGACUCACUUUAGAUCCAAAGACAGAAACAGGUUAAAAGUGAAAGGACCAAGAAAAAAAAAAGUGAAAGGACAGAAAAGGAUAUUCCGUGCAAACAGCAACCAAAGACAGCAGGGGCAGCUAUAGUAAUAUCAGACAAAAUAGUAUUAUUUAAAUCAAAAAUGGUUACAAAAGACAAUGAAGGAUAUUAUAUAUUAAUAAAAGAUUCAAUAGUACAAGAAAGUAAAAUAAUUAUAAACUUCAUUAAUGUAUCUAAUAACAGGACAUCAAAAUACAUAAAGCAAAAAAAUGACAGAAGAAACAGUUUUAAAAUAAUAGUUGGAAACCAAUAUCUCAUUCUCCACAAUGGAUAGAAAAGACAGGUAGAAGAUAAGUACAAAAAUAGAGGACUUACGGACUUCCCUGGUGGUGCAGUGGUUAAGAAUCUGCCUGCCAAUGCAGGGGACAUGGGUUCGAUCCCUGGUCUGGGAAGAUCCCACAAGCUGUGGAACAACUAAGCCUGUGUGCCACAACUACUGAGCCUGUGCUCUAGAGCCCAGACACCACAGCUACUGAGCCCACGCACCACAACUGCCGAAACCUGCGUGCCCUAGAGCCUGUGCGCUGCAACUACUGAGCCCAUAUGCCUCAACUACUGAAGCCCACGCACCCUAGAGCUUGCAUGCCACAACUACUGAGCCCACAUGCCUCAACUACUGAAGCCUGUGCACUCUAGGGCCUGCACGCCACAACUACUGAGCCCGCAUGCUGCAACUACUGAAGCCCACGCAGCUAGAGCCUGUGCUUCACAAUAAGAGAAGCCACUGCAGUGAGAAGCCUGUGCACCACAAUGAAGAGUAGCCCCUGCUUGCCACAACUAGAGAAAGCCCGCGUGCCACAACUAGAGAAAGACCGCGUGCAGCAACAAAGACGCAAUGCAGCCAAAAAAAAAAAAGAAAGACAAAGACUUGUUUUCUUUGUCAGGAGAAAGAAAACAAUACAAUAAACCAACUAGAUCAAACAUAAAUAUACAGAACAUUCUACCCCAAAAUAACAGAAUAUACAUACUUCUCAGGGGCAUAUGGGACAUUCUCCAGGGUAGAUCAUAUGUAUACUAGGCUAUAAAUUGUCUUAAUAGAUUUUUUAAAAAUUUAUUUAUUUUCAGUAUCUGCAAAUCAAUCAGUGUGAUACACCACAUUAACAAACUGAACAAUAAAAACCAUAUGAUCAUCUCAGUAGAUGCAGAAAAAGCUUUUGAGAAAAUUCAGUGGAAUGGGAUAGGAAGCUCAGAAAUAAACCCAGACACCUAUGGUCAAUGAGUCCGUGACAAAGGAGGUAAGAAUAUAUAAUGGAGAAAAGACAGUCUCUUCAAUAAGUGGUGCUGGGAAAACUGGACAGCUACAUGUAAAAGAAUGAAGUUAGAACACUCCCUAACACCAUACACAAAAAUAAACUCCAAAUGGAUUAAAGACUUAAAUGUAAGACCAGACACUAUAAAACUUUCAGAGGAAAACAUAGGACAAACACUCUUUGACAUAAACCACAGCAAGAUCUUUUUUGACCCAUCUCCUAGAGUAACAGAAAUUAAAACAAAAAUAAACAAAUGGGACUUAAUUAAACUUAAAAGCUUUUGCACAGCAAAGGAAACCAUAAAGAAAACGAAAAGACAACCCAUAGAAUGGGAGAAAAUAUUUUCAAACAAAGCAAACUACAAAGGGAUUAAUCUCCAAAAUAUACAAAGAGCUCAAAUACCUCAAUACCAAAAACAAAAACCCCCCAAAAAACAACCCAAUCCCCAAAUGGGCAGAAGACCUAAAUACACAUUUCUCCAAAGAAGAUAUACAGAUUGCCAACAUACACAUGAAAGGAUGCUCAACAUCACUAAUCAUUAGAGAAAUGCAAAUCAAAACUACAAUGAGGCAUCACCUCACACCAGUCAGAAUGGCCAUCAUCAAAAGGUCUACAAACAAUAAAUGCUGGAGAGUGUGUGGAGAAAAGGCAACCCUCUUCCACUGUUGGUGGGAAUGUAAAUGGUACAGCCACUAUGGAGAACAGUAUGGAGGUUCCUUAAAAAACUAAAAAUAGAGUUACCAUAUGACCCAGCAAUCCCACUACUGGGCAUAUAUCUGGAGAAAACCAUAAUUAAACAGAUACAUGCACCCCAAUGUUUAUUGCAGCACUAUUUCCAAUAGCCAAGACAUGGAAACAAACUAAAUGUCCACUGACAGAGAAAUGGAUAAAGAAAAUGUGCUACAUUUUUACAAUGGAAUAUUACUCAGCCACAAAAGGGAACAAAAUAAUGCCAUUUGCAGCAACAUGGAUGGACCUAGAGAUGAUCAUACUAAAUGAAGUAAGCCAGACAGAGAAAGACAAAUAUCAUAUAAUAUCACUCAUAUGUGGAAUCUAAUUUUAAAAAUGAUACAAAUGAACUUAUUUACAAAACAGACUUACAGAUACUGAAAACAAAUUUAUGGUUACCAAAGGGGAAACGUGGUGGGGAGUGAUGAAUCAGGAGCUUGGGAUUAACAUACACACACUACUUACUCUACAUAAGAUAGAUAACCAACAAGGACCCUUGUAUAUGGCACAGGGAAUUCUACUCAAUAUUCUGUGAUAACCUAUAUAAGCAAAGAAUCUGAAAAAGAAUGAAUAUACAUAUAUGUAUAACUGGAUCCCUCUGCUGAACAUCUGAAGCUGUACAUCUGAAACUAACACAAAAUUGUAAAUCAACUAUAAUUCAAUAAAAUAAAAAAAAAAAACCCAUGCACCUAUGGUCAAUUAAUCCAUGACAAACAAGACAAGAAUAUACAAUGGAGAAAACACAGUCUUUUCAAUAAGUGGUGCUGGGAAAACUGGACAGCAACAUGUAAAAGAAUGAAAUUAGAACAUUCUCUAACACCACACACAAAAAUACACUCAAAAUGGAUCAAAGACCUAAAUGUAAGGCCGGACACUAUAAAACUCUUAGAGGAAAACAUAGGCAGAUCACUUUUUUACAUAAAUCGCAGCAGUAUCUUUUUUGAUCCACUUCCUAGAGUAAUAAAAAUAAACAAAUAGGACCUAAUUAAACUCAAAAUCUUUUGCAAAGCAAAGGAAACCAUAAAUAAAAAGACAAGACAACCCUCAGAAUGGGAGAAAAUAUUUGCAAAUGAAACAACCAACAGGGGAUUAAUCUCCAAAAUAUACAAACAGCUCAUGCAGCUCAAUAUCUAAAAAACAAACAACCCGAUCCAAAAAAUGGGCAGAAGAGUGAUACCUCCACAUUUGUUCUUCUUUCUCAAGACUGAUUUGGCUAUUUGGGGUCAUUUAUGGUUCCAUACAAAUUUUACGAUUUUUUUCUACUUGAAAACGCCAUGGGAAUUUUAAUAGGGAUUGCAUUGAAUCUGUAGAUUACUUCGGGUGGUAUGGAUAUUUUAACAAUAUUUAUUUGUCUGAUCCAUGAAUGUGGAAUUUUUUCCAUUUGUUGGUGUCUUCUUCUUCAUUUUCUUUCGCCAAAGACUUGUAGUUUCAGUGUACAAAUCUUUCACCUUCUUGGUUAAAUAUAUUCCUAACUACUUUAAUUUUUUUGAUGCUCUUAUAGCAUUUUUAACUGGUUGGAAUUUUGAAAUCUGGCAAAUAGAGAAACCAUCUUCAUGGGUCAUUCCAUCUCAAACCAUCAUACAGUUCCUACAUCUAAGAAUUUUCUCCCUAGAAUUACCACUUUAGUUUGAUCUAAAGAGCAAGCUCCACUCAAAUCUGACCUACUUAGACCAAAGUCUCACUUGCAGACACCUCAUGCUGGAGGAAAAGCAGUGUGCUGGCUUCUCAGCUCUCAGCUGUGAGGAAUCCUAGGUUACCCUGGUAAUGAGGCAGAAAACUGCAAAAAGCCUGACCAGCAAAGCAGAAAGGAGGCCAAAGAAAGACCAACUAAUUUAUAAAAUGAACGAUACUAUUGGAUCUCAUACAAUGAAAUACUGUAAACUUAAUAAAAACUCCGUAAGGUUCAUGAUUGUAUAAUAUUUAUAAAAAUAAGUCCUCUAUGUUGUAAAAUACUAGCUACUAAUUAAAACUAAAGAGUGCUCAAACUAAUGUGGUUUACAUCCAAACAGUAUUUACAAACAGGACUUUUGUGAAUGUAGUUCUUCCUUGGCCCUGUAUUUUGUGGAGUUCUGACACUUUGCUCUCAUGAUUCUGACGUACUGCAGGAUUAUGCCUUGGUUUUCUUUUACCAUCACUCUUUUAUUUUUGAAUAUCAAUCAGUCACAUUUUAAUAUUACCCUUGCACUUUAACAUAUAUCUCCAUCUGAUCAUGUUUCAGUAUAAAGUGUUUUAUCAUCAUCAUUCCUUUUAAAAGAGGUUCCAGGAAUACACUUUUAAUAAAACAGGAUUUUAAGAACAAAAAAUGGUAACCAGGAGACAAAGGGUGCUUUGACAGUAUGCCUAGAUUUAUGCAUUAAAACAAACUAAUUAAAAAAUGAAGUUUAAGUGGCAUUUUGUUUUCAGUUUUUAAACAUUUUUAACAAUUACUUUAGCCAGAACCCCUGAAUUUGUCCACAAACACCAUGGGUCCAAUUAGCUUAUCUUCAAAAGCAUCUUUUCAAUAGACAAUUGGCUAAGAAAUAAAACAAAGAAGACAACAUUCAAAAUGUGUACCCCAGUCCCAUUUUGGAGGCAUUUAGUGAACAAGAGUCUCUAUUGCAUACUAAGCAGGCAGGUCACAAUUGGCCCAGAAGUCCUAAAUAAUGAUGAUUUGCCUCUGAAAUUUCCCUUAUGGUUUUACAAUGUUCCAUUUAGACACACAGCAGUCCAGAACCAAUACUAAUCCAGCAGCAUUUUUCAAGUAAUUGAGAGUAUAUUUUUCAAAAACAAUCUAUGCAUAAUACUGUCAUUAGGGUACAAAGGAAUUGAAAGCUUAACAAAACCUUACCGAAACGAGAGUCUGCACAAAAUCAAGAAGAUCAUAGAAAUAUUUAGUAUUGUAUCUCAUUUUCUGUUAAAACUUUCAAAAGCUACUGAACACAAAAAGCUUUAAACAUGAAAAGGGAAGUCGAAGUCUUGAUUUUUGUUCUGAAAAUUUUCAUUCUUAAAAUAUUACACGAGAGCUUCCCUGGUGGCGCAGUGGUUAAGAAUCUGCCUGCCAACACAGAGGACACGGGUUCGAGCCCUGAUUCGGGAAGAUCCCACAUGCCACGGAGCAACUAAACUCGUGCGCCACAACUACUGAGCCUGUGCUCUAGAGCCUGCAAGCCACAACUACUGAGCCUAUGAGCCACAACUACUGAGCCCGUGAGCCACAACUACAGGAGCCCGCAUGCCUAGAGCCCGUGCUCCGCAGCAAGAGAAGCCACCACAAUGAGAAGCCUGCGCACCGCAACGAAGAGUAGCCUCCGCUCGCCACAACUAGAGAAAGCCUGCUUGCAUUAACAAAGACCCAACGCAGUCAAAUAAAAUAAAUUUAUAAAAAAAAAAUUACACUAACAUGAAAAAUAAUUUAUGUUGAAUUCUCCACAUACGAACCAUAAUCUUCUAUUCAAAAAUGUUUAUACUUCAUUUCUUUACUAAAUAUCGUGUGAUGUCUGAUCCAUGCUUUGAUGCUAGAGAUCGUCUUCUCACCUGACUUCUUUCCUUGGCUUGUCUUGCAGUUCUCUAAGAGUUAAAAAAAAAAUGCAUGUGUACACAUGUUAAAAAAAAAAGUACUGGCUACAGAAACUCAAAAACUCUUUGUAUUCUGUUAAAAAAAUAUACAUUAUCAACACACUCAUUUACCAGUGCUUUGCAAUGAGGGGGUUACUAAGCCACAAGCAGAGGACUCCAGUAGCUCUGAAGUCGUAGGUUCACUUAGGACCAGAUGCUGAGGAGAAAAUGCACAGCUUUAGGGGCUGCCUUGCUACCCAGUGAGAUGGUAAAUACCUCAUUUGUGGACUAGGGGAGGCCAUGAUUCCCCUCACCCACAUGGCAAUUUCCCAGACUGUAGUGUGUGCAGGGCCCACCCACCUCCUGUUCUCUGGGCUCUGAAGCCUUUCCCAACCCAACAGCCAAGCCAACACAAAAAACCAAAACGAGAUAGAACAGAACUGGAUUCUUCUGCUGCUCCCACAAAUAAAGUUUUUCAUAAGACUCUGAAAAAGUGAUUACAGAGGGUGCAACAUUCUCUUUUGCUAUAUCUUCAUUUUCUUAUAGGUCUUGAAUGUGCUAAUAAUUUGCACAGCUGAGAAAUCAGAUGACUUUUUUUCCCCAGCUGAAGUCCAUGUACAUGUGAAGUGAUCCAGGUGGAAGGGGUAAGGAGAGAAAAAAGGUUAAAACUAAAAAUAAAUAAAAAGCCCUGCUUAUGAGAUGAUCCCAUCUAUGUAAAUAUUAUGUUUGUAGAGAAAUUGAGGAAUCUGAAAUAUUAAAAGGAGGCUAAGAAAGUGCUCAUAUGAUAUGAACACUGGCAAAGGAUCUGAACAGUUCUCAAAAGUGUAGGACUUCCCUGGUGGUCCAGUGGUUAAGACUCCACGCUUCCAACGCAGGGUGCAUGGGUUUGCUCCCUGGUCGGGGAACUAAGAUCCCAUAUAGCGCAUGGCACGGCCAAAAAAUGAAAGAAAAAAAAAGGUGUAAAUACAAUUGAUUAGCAUUUUUACAAACAUCAGGGUCUUUUGUAAACACAAUAAUUCUUCUCUCACCGCGUUGGCAAUAACAAGUGCAGUUAAACGGGCACUCCCGUUCAGUGCUGGGGCGGGGGAAGGAGCGUAUGUGAGUGUAGUCCUUUGGAAAACAGCUUGGAGAAAAUUUAUCUCCUACAGUCUCAAAAAUAUCUAAACACUUGACUCAGUGAUUUUUACAUCUGAGAAUCUAAAGGAACAACCUCAAAAUGUAAAAAAUUAUAUACAAAAAAACGCGGUUGGCAGCAUUUGUGUAUAUGCACCAAAAAAUGUAAACAACUUCAAUGUUCAUCAGUAUGAGAAUGGCUGAAUAAACCAAAGUAGAAACGUAUUCAACAGGACAAUAUGCAGCCAUUUCAGAUGAUAAACACUGAAUGCUUAUCAUGGGAAUGGGAAAAUGCUUAAAUGUUGCCAUAAUUAAAAAAAAAAGUUGGAUACAAAGUUGCAUAUUGAAUGUAUGCUUCUUUCUAAGAUUAUAUCUCAAGAGGCAGAUCCUAUGACCUUUUGCUGAACUGCCUGUUAAAAAUUCAUCCUAGUUGACAGACAAUAUUAUGUCAUUCUUUUCUUCUCCUCUUAAGCAAUAGGUAAUUGCUCCAAGAUGUACCAAGGUUAACAGGUUUCACAUUUAGGUCAGCAGUGUAAUGUUUGCAUGUUGAACUGAGUUGGUCCUAGAGAUAAUUUAUUAAUGUUCUCAGAUAUUUCAGGACAUAUUUAGCUGCAGAUGCAAACAUAUGUCACUGUCCCCAUUUACUAAACUUCUAGUUUGAGGAUCUGGAUCUUUUCAAGAGUAUGCAAUAUGUAAGUUGUAUUCAUUUUCUUCUAGGUGGUGGUGAAAAUUUCCUGGUCCUAGAAUGAAUAGAAAGGGAAGCAGUUUCUUUUUCAUCUGUGACUGAGAACUUGCAUAGGCCCCAAGAGAAAACUCAAGUGUUAAGUGAUGAAAAGAAUAAAAUAAAUCUCGGAUCCCAGACUAGGGAUAUAGAUUCACACACAUAAUCUUCCACACCUGUAUGCACAAUUUUCAAUUUGAUAUCUCAAGAUGGAGUCAAAUGUGUCUGCGAGCUUCACUGACCUCUUUGUGACAGAUUGUGCAGAGGGUCUGCAGGUUGUCCAGGGAGCACUGUCCUCCUCCACCAGACACUGGCUUGAUGUGGUCCACCUGCCAGAAAUGCCCUUCCCCUGGGUUUCUUAUCAUUUCAUUAAGCUGUAAUAAGAACACAAGAUCAGCAAUUUUCAACAUACACUGUGGGAACUGUUGGGUUUGCAUUGUGCAAUCAUGUUCACACAGCAGAAUCACAGGGAAAAAUACAUUAGGAUGGUUUAGCUUUUUUUUCUUAUAGCUUUUAUUGUGAGUAGGAAAAACCCUCUAGGUUAGCAAUUUGAAAGCAAUAAAAAAUAUGUUUCUGAAAAAGGUUUUUUCCCCCCCUUACCUAACCCAUUUUGAAAAAAUUACAAGCAAGUAUAAAAUACCAAGCCUUCUGACAGACUGGGAAAAAUCAAUUGCUUCUGCACCUUUGAGCUAGUUUAUAUAGUCACUAAAACAAAACUGAGAAAAAAAAAAACAGAUUAGAAAUGAAAAACUUCUGAAUAUUACUGACUCGUCUUUUAAUUGUUGACCUAAAUGCAUUGGUUAGUAUACCAAUGACAGUUUAAUAUUAACAGAUAUCACCCAGAACUUUUAUGCUAUUACCUGGGAACCUCCUAAGUUACAUGGAGGUAAUUUCUAGAACAAAUCUCUGUUGCUUGCAUAUUUGGAAUAAACAAAGAUGUUCAUUUAAAGCAGCCACUAUUUAGGCCAGUCCAUACAUGCAUACUUCAUAUUUAACGAAUAAUAACCUACAUUCAAACGGGAUGUAUUUUAGCAUUUUAUCUGAGGUAGUAAAACCAGCUCACAACAUAGCAGUGUAGAGUUGUUUAAAUAUCACAAAGACGAGUGUGAAGACGAUAUUAUAAUAUCUUCCUUGUUCCUUGGUCUUGAACAAGGAAGAUAUUAUAAUCGACUUCAAGGCUGCUGGCCAUGGGAAUCUGUGGCAUAGCUCUAAAGUGCUUUAGGAAAGUUGUCAGGCCCAUGGAUGGCUCAGGGACCUUAGCAGCAGUGUCUGGCCCAAGAGCAGCCCCAGGAAGCAGCAAAUUGGAGCAGUAACCUUUGCCCACCUUAACUCUGUUACAGAUGGACUGACUGUCUCUUCUACACUGAACUUCCCGAAUUCUGUUAGAAGAUAUACAAUGAUUUUUAUUUUGAGGUUGGCAUUGUGGGAGGAGACUUCAUGUGGCAGUCUUGUGCAUCAAGCAAAUGGCAUAUUCUUAGGAAAAAAAUCCAUUUUGGUUCUGUCUUUUGUAACCGAUUCUUCUGUGCCGAGCAGUCUCCAUUCUGACAGAUCCUGUGAUCCAGAAGGUGCUUCUUUAUUCUUCCCAGCAAUUCGGAAUCACUUGGGGCCAGUCUUCAACAUCCUAAACUCACCUCCAGAAAGAAUCACUCCCUCUCCCACUGGUCAUUCCAUCUGGGCCCUGCGGUGCUCCUGAUUCUCUGAGCGCUUCUCUUUUAGAUGUGUACUGUGUAACUUCUGCAUUCUUGGACAGACUGCUUUCAAGAUGUUCUUGAGUCAUUUCAUUGUGUGUCUUCCGGAAGCCUCCACAUGGAGGCAGCAGCAAGCAACUGGAGUCUGGCUGACACCUCCGGGAUGGGUGUGACGUGACCCUCACCAGUUAGACCAAAGGCUCUUUCAGGAACUCUGGAUAACAUUAGGGGAAGAGUGCAUUUCCCUAACAAAGUCAUGCUAAUUCAUCUUUGCAGAAAUGCUUAUUAAUUCUGUCAUGAUUCAGCAAUACUAGGUAAAUAAAAAUAUAAGAUUUGACUCCCUGGCUGGAACUUACCCAAUAUUUUAGCAGACGGAGAGUGAUUUUUUUUCAAAACUAAGCUUACUACAAAAUUACACAUUUUGCUCUAGUUUGAAAUUUAGUACUUAUUAGAUCACAACACUGGAAAUCCAACUGAGUUUUGGGAGUCAAAGUAAAUACUGAGAAUAGUGUGCUAAGAAUACUAUUUUUGUCAUGAAUUACAUUUUACAAUGGGAUAAACAUAUAUAAGUUUUCUUCUCGUUGUAACGACUACAUUUUGGGGGUUAUCUGUUUACCCCUUGUCAUUCAAUACUAACACCAUGAAAAGUGGAACAAGCAUACCAUAAGUGCCUCUCAAUGCAAUGUACUAUCUGUUAAGGUCUCUUCCCAAAAUAAUCUAGUCAGAAUCUAAUUAAACCUCUAGAUCUUAUAACCAUUAUUCAGGAAAUCAGGGGGAUAGAGAAACAUGUCAGACAACAUCAUGAGGAUACAGGGAGACAAAUCCAGAAUGUGGGAAAUUCUAAAGGCAAAUGUAACAAUUUAUAGUGUAAAAAAGGGAUGGGGUGAUAUUACAGAUUAUAUGGAACGUAAAAGGUGUAAUGACCAAAUGCAAUGUGUGGGUGAUAUUUUGAUCCUAAUUUGAAGAAAGCAAUUGUAAAAAGACAUUUCUGAGAGAACAUGGGAAACCAAACACGGACUUACUAUAACUGCGGAAUUAUAAUUGUGUUGGGUGUGAUGAUGGAUAUUGGGAUAUUUAAAAGAGAGACAGACCUAUGAUGAAUAAACCAUAAUGGAAAAGAAUAUUAAAAAAAGAAUGUAUAUAUAUGUAUAACUGAGUCACUUUUCUGUACAGCAGUAAUUAACACAACAUUGUAAAUCAACUAUACUUC